GGAGAGAGGAAGAGAAGCAUAAUGGUUACUUGCAGUUAGGUCCACCAGAUAAAGAUAAUAUUGAUGUAUCAUUAUAAUUGAAAGACCGGUUAUAUGCGUAGGAUGGUGCUGAAAUGGUAGAAAAAUGGCGGUUCUAUAAUUCAGAAAAUUCUUACGGAGAAGAGACACGACUUUUGAUAGUUUUGAAAGUUAAAGCAAACAGCAGGACGCAAAAAAACACUUGGUUAAUAGCAAAAAGAUAUUGCCUAUAGCAUUGAAGUAUCCUACUGGCAAAAUCUGGUGGUUAAAUCUUAGUUGCGGAUCAAAUCUAAAGAUCAUAAAUUUGUGAGAGCCAGGGCAGAUGGAGCUGUUAGGUACUGGGAUAUUCAACAUGGGGAGUUGUCAAGUGGCUCCCCGAACACAUCGCAAAUUCUGCUGGUUUACACAACAAUUCCCAAAUAAUUAUUAAGAUUAUUCAUUGUAGUGAAUGAGAAUUCAAGAUCUCUCGAAAAGAAGCUUUUGAUUUAACAAGAUAUAAUCUUUUAGGUUGGAUUGAUUUGAUGAAAGAUGGAGAGUUCCAUUUGGUCAGAAGUCAAGAAAGCUUUUGGUUGCAAUAGAUCAAAACCUUUAAUAUCAUUUUGAAAUUGUUUUUAGCAAACUGAUGUUUCUAUUAGAUUGUUACCUUAUAACUUUUAAUACAUGUUCACAACCCGUGAUUAGUUAGUAAUUAUUUGAUGGACGUAAUUACCCUUA